AGAGUUUGAUUCUGGCUCAGGAUGAACGCUAGCGGGAGGCUAACACAUGCAAGUCGAGGGGCAUCACGAGGUAGCAAUACUUGGUGGCGACCGGCAGACGGGUGAGUAACGCGUAUGCAACCUACCCUGUACUGGGGGAUAACCCGGAGAAAUUCGGACUAAUACCACAUAGUGAUAUAGAGAGGCAUCUUGAAAUAUUUAAAGUUUCGACGGUACGGGAUGGGCAUGCGUAACAUUAGCUAGUUGGUAAGGUAACGGCCUACCAAGGCUUUGAUGUUUAGGGGUCCUGAGAGGGUGGUCCCCCACACUGGUACUGAGACACGGACCAGACUCCUACGGGAGGCAGCAGUGAGGAAUAUUGGUCAAUGGGCGAAAGCCUGAACCAGCCAUCCCCCGCGUGCAGGAAGACGGCCCUAUGGGUUGUAAACUGCUUUUCCAGGGGGAGAAACUCUCGUACGUGAUACGGGAUUGACGGUACCCUGGGAAUAAGCAUCGGCUAACUCCGUGCCAGCCGCGGC
rnacentral:rRNA from 1 species